AGACCCUACUAAACUUGAACCUCUAUUAAAUCAUAAUUUUCAAUGCUUUUUUCUCUAUAGUUGUUAGAAUAAGUGACUAAAUUUAUUGUUUGUUUGUAUGGUGUUUUUACAUUGCAUGGAACCAGUGGUUAUUCAGCAAUGGGAUCAAUGGCUUUAUGGGACUUCUGAACCACUUCAAGAGUGAACUAUCACCAGAAAUACACAUCUCUCACUCCUCAGUGGAAUGGCCGAGAAUUGAACUCGCGACCACCGAGGUGGGACGCUAACACCAUACCAACCACGCCACUGAGGAUUCUCAGAUUUUCUCUGCUGUGAGGUUGCCUUGGUGCCUCUUCAAGAGGUAGGUGUUUUGACCACUACUAUUGAUUCCAAGCAAUCAUCUUUUUCUGUUAGGCACCUACACUAUAUUACAUGCAGGGAACACAUCUUCUUGCGAGGUCAAUUCUGACAACUUUCACAGUGAGGAAGGCUGUACAGAUCAUGAAACAAAAGAUAAUCAUCCUGAAAUCAGACAAAUCAUAAUGCAUUCAUGCCACAUAUGAAAAUAUAAAUAAUACAAAAAUAUAUGUUCCGAUUUGGCAAACAGGCAAGUUAGAGUUAGCGCAAAUGUGCAAGCAAACAUGGUUAGCAGUUUAAGUUUUUAAAUUGUUUGGUUAUUACACAAUAUAAUUAGCUGCAGCUCUCCUAAAACAAAGCAAAUAAGAGAAGAUGAAGGUUUGUAUAGGUGGUAUAAUAUUGAGAAUUAUACAUUGAAAAAGUUUCUAAAUAAUAGGUUCCAAUACAGCCUGUAAAUUCAUUAUACUGACAUUGGUAGAACUGUGGUAAAACUAAUAAGGAAAUCUGCUGUAUCAUCUUUUCCAUGUUCUUCUAAAUCUUGCUCUGGCUGACAUCUAUAAAGCUUAAAUUAAAUAAAAAAUAAAAGGUAAUAUCACAGUGCCAAACAACUUACUAAGGAAAAAGUGGCUCAAACUUACAAAAUGCAGCUACAAUGUGACAAUACAAAAAAUAAAAACUGACAAUCAUACUCUGUACAAUAUGUUAAAUAAAACUAUGAAAAUCCUACUCAUUAGUGUUAAAACUAAUACUAUUCUUUUCUACCACAUCAUGAUUUACCUUGAGAAUAUUUCAAGGAAAUUUACCCUAGCCUCCUUUCAACAAAUGUUAAUAGCAGUCUCAUUAAAUUUGUAAACAAAAUUUGCAUUAAACUAAGUUCAUGAAUUUUGCUCGCCUUCUCAGGACGUUUCCACAAUCCAAGUUUCAAUAAGGUCAAAGAUUCAUGAUCACAUGACAUGUAUCAAAAGCUCUUUUGAAAACUAAAAAAUUUCUUGUUGAAUAUAUAACAGUACUAUAAAUGCACUGCAUUGUUGAAAUAUGCUAAUGCAAACAUCACUGUGCUACUUCCCAUACUAUAUUUAGUGAACACACAACAUUUUCAGUCACUUUUGACUGCAUAGUAGGUAUACAAACUCAACCACAAAAAAAAAAAAAAAUAUAAUAAAA